UACGUAGGGUGCAAGCGUUAAUCGGAAUUACUGGGCGUAAAGCGUGCGCAGGCGGUUAUGCAAGUCAGAUGUGAAAUCCCCGGGCUUAACCUGGGAACUGCAUUUGUGAUUGCAUAGCUGGAGUACGGCAGAGGGGGAUGGAAUUCCGCGUGUAGCAGUGAAAUGCGUAGAUAUGCGGAGGAACACCGAUGGCGAAGGCAGUCCCCUGGGCCUGUACUGACGCUCAUGCACGAAAGCGUGGGGAGCAAACAGG
rnacentral:rRNA from 1 species